rnacentral:rRNA from 1 species
UAGAGUUUUUGRACCUGGCUCAUAUUGAACGCUGGCGGCAGGCCUAACACAUGCAAGUCGAACGGCAGCACAGAAGAGCUUGCUCUUUGGGUGGCGAGUGGCGGACGGGUGAGUAAUGUCUGGGAAACUGCCCGAUGGAGGGGGAUAACUACUGGAAACGGUAGCUAAUACCGCAUAACGUCGCAAGACCAAAGUGGGGGACCUUCGGGCCUCACACCAUCGGAUGUGCCCAGAUGGGAUUAGCUAGUAGGUGGGGUAAUGGCUCACCUAGGCGACGAUCCCUAGCUGGUCUGAGAGGAUGACCAGCCACACUGGAACUGAGACACGGUCCAGACUCCUACGGGAGGCAGCAGUGGGGAAUAUUGCACAAUGGGCGCAAGCCUGAUGCAGCCAUGCCGCGUGUAUGAAGAAGGCCUUCGGGUUGUAAAGUACUUUCAGCGGGGAGGAAGGCGGUGAGGUUAAUAACCUCGCCGAUUGACGUUACCCGCAGAGAGACCGACC